GGGUGUGGCUCAGUGGUAGAGCGCUUGCCUCAAGUGUGUGAGGCACUGAGUUCAACCCCCAGCAUCACA
rnacentral:tRNA from 1 species